rnacentral:misc_RNA from 1 species
AACCAUAGAAACCUGCGGAGUACCUGCGGAGGGAUCAUUAUAGUAUAUGGAAUCUCCAUUCUAUAAACCCACUCUGCGUAUCUUGUAACUGUUGCUUCCAUGGGACUUGGUUCCGCCACACCGGCUUCACGGCUGGUGAGCGCCCAUGGAGGGAGAAACAAAACUCUUCUUUGAAAUGUAGUCAGUCUGAACAAGUUUUUAUAAACGUUAAAACUUUUAGCAACGGAUCUCAGAUCGGAA